rnacentral:rRNA from 1 species
GAUGAACGCUGGCGGCGUGCUUAACACAUGCAAGUCGAACGGUGAACACGGAGCUUGCUCUGUGGGAUCAGUGGCGAACGGGUGAGUAACACGUGAGCAACCUGCCCCUGACUCUGGGAUAAGCGCUGGAAACGGCGUCUAAUACUGGAUAUGUGACGUGACCGCAUGGUCUGCGUUUGGAAAGAUUUUUCGGUUGGGGAUGGGCUCGCGGCCUAUCAGCUUGUUGGUGAGGUAAUGGCUCACCAAGGCGUCGACGGGUAGCCGGCCUGAGAGGGUGACCGGCCACACUGGGACUGAGAUACGGCCCAGACUCCUACGGGAGGCAGCAGUGGGGAAUAUUGCACAAUGGGCGCAAGCCUGAUGCAGCAACGCCGCGUGAGGGAUGACGGCCUUCGGGUUGUAAACCUCUUUCAGCAGGGAAGAAGCGAGAGUGACGGUACCUGCAGAAAAAGCGCCGGCUAACUACGUG